AGCGAUCUCUUUUUACAACUGUCUGGGAUUUGUAUGGAGGUGGAAUUCACCUGAGUUACAGAAAAGAAACAGGAGCCUUCCGAGCUCACAGAACCUCCAGCUACAUCUGUUUUAACACCAACUGGAAGGACAUGGCUGCAUCUGGAGACUCUGUGCCCCAGUCCUCAGUUGAGCUCUGAAGAAGAGACCUCCAGCAACACUCGUUCUCAGGAGGUUGCUACGGUGAAGUUUCCCUCUGGAGCCUGGAGAAAGUGGAAACAGAUCCUGAAGAGAAGCCGGCAUUACAAUGUGGAUGUGAACUUUCCAGGGCUUGAAAAAAAUGUAGGUAAACUCUA